GAUUAACGCUGGCGGCAUGCCUAAUACAUGCAAGUCGAACGGAAGCAGCAAUGCUUUAGUGGCGAACGGGUGAGUAACACGUAGGGAACCUACCUAUACGACGAGGAUAACUACUGGAAACGGUAGCUAAAACUGGAUAGGAUCAAUUGAGGCAUCUUGAUUGAUUUAAAGAUCCUUCGGGAUUACGUAGAGAUGGGCCCUGCGGCGCAUUAGCUAGUUGGUGAGGUAACGGCCACCAAGGCGACGAUGCGUAGCUGAGCUGAGAGGCUAAACAGCCACACUGGGACUGAGACACGGCCCAGACUCCUACGGGAGGCAGCAGUAGGGAAUUUUCGGCAAUGGGGGAAACCCUGACCGAGCAAUGCCGCGUGAACGAUGAAGGUCUUCGGAUUGUAAAGUUCUGUGAUUGGGGAAGAAUGGUAUCUUAGGGAAUGAGGAGUACAUGACGGUACCCGAUUAGAAAGCCCCGGCUAACUAUGUGCCAGCAGC
rnacentral:rRNA from 1 species